rnacentral:rRNA from 1 species
GUGGGGAAUAUUGGGCAAUGGGCGCAAGCCUGACCCAGCAACGCCGCGUGAAGGAAGAAGGCUUUCGGGUUGUAAACUUCUUUUCUCAGGGACGAAGCAAGUGACGGUACCUGAGGAAUAAGCCACGGCUAACUACGUGCC